rnacentral:rRNA from 1 species
GACGAACGCUAGCGGCAGGCCUAACACAUGCAAGUCGAGGGAGAGGGUACCUUCUGGUAACCAAAACCGGCGCACGGGUGCGUAACGCGUAUACAAUCUGCCUUUCCCAUAGGUAUAGCCCGCAGCAAUUUGGUUUAAUACCUACCGGUUUAUAAGACCGGCAUCGUUUUUAUAUUUAAGCUACGGCGGUGAAAGAGGAGUAUGCGUUCUAUUAGCUAGUUGUUGAGGUAACGGCUCCUCAAGGCGACGAUAGAUAGGGGUUCUGAGGGGGAUGUCCCCGACACUGGGACUGGGCUACGGGCCAGACUGCUACGGGCGGCAGCAGUGAGGGAGAUUGGACAGUGGUAGGAAGACUGAUCCAGCCAAGCCGCGUGCAGGAUGGAGGUCCUAGGGAUUGUGAACUGCUUUUGGAAGGGAGGAAUAAGGAGUACGUGUACUUUGAUGACGGUACCUUACGAAUAAGCAUCGGCUAACUCCGUG